rnacentral:rRNA from 1 species
GUUGACGGUACCGCAGGAAUAAGCAUCGGCUAACUCCGUGCCAGCAGCCGCGGUAAUACGGAGGAUGCGAGCGUUAUCCGGGAUUCAUUGGGUUUAAAGGGUGCGCAGGCGGCGCGGCGAGUCAGUGGUGAAAUCCUGCCGCUCAACGGUAGGGCUGCCAUUGAUACUGCCGUGCUUGAGUCCGGUUGAGGCAGGCGGAAUGUGCAGUGUAGCGGUGAAAUGCAUAGAUAUUGCACAGAACGCCGAUUGCGGAGGCAGCUUGCCAAGCCGGCACUGACGCUGAGGCACGAAAGCGUGGGUAGCGAACAGGAUUAGAUACCCUGGUAGUCCACGCCGUAAACGAUGCUCACUCGCUGUUUGCGAUAGACAGCAAGCGGCUGAGCGAAAGCAAUAAGUGAGCCACCUGGGGAGUACGAUCGCAAGGUUGAAACUCAAAGGAAUUGACGGGGGCCCGCACAAGCGGAGGAACAUGUGGUUUAAUUCGAUGAUACGCGAGGAACCUUACCUGGGCUUAAAUGGGGGUUGGCAGGCUGUGAAAGCAGCCCUCCUUCGGGCAGCCCCCGAGGUGCUGCAUGGUUGUCGUCAGCUCGUGCCGUGAGGUGUCGGGUUAAGUCCCAUAACGAGCGCAACCCUUACCGUUAGUUGCCAGCGGGUAGAGCCGGGGACUCUAGCGGGACUGCCACCGUAAGGUGAGAGGAAGGCGGGGAUGACGUCAAAUCAGCACGGCCCUUAUGCCCAGGGCUACACACGUGUUACAAUGGCCGGUACAGAGGGCAGCCACUGCGCGAGCAGGCGCUAAUCCCGAAAGCCGGUCCCAGUUCGGAUCGGAGUCUGCAACCCGACUUCGUGAAGUUGGAUUCGCUAGUAAUCGCGCAUCAGCCAUGGCGCGGUGAAUACGUUCCCGGGCCUUGUACACACCGCCCGUCAAGCCAUGGGAGCCGGGGGUGCCUGAAGUCUGCAACCGCGAGGAGCGGCCUAGGGUAAAACUGGUGACUGGGGCUAAGUCGUAACAAGGUAGCC